rnacentral:rRNA from 1 species
GACGAACGCUGGCGGCGUGCCUAAUACAUGCGAGUAGAACGCUGAAGGAGGAGCUUGCUCUUCUGGAUGAGUUGCGAACGGGUGAGUAACGCGUAGGUAACCUGCCUGGUAGCGGGGGAUAACUAUUGGAAACGAUAGCUAAUACCGCAUAACAGUAGAUGUUGCAUGACAUUUACUUAAAAGGUGCAAUUGCAUCACUACCAGAUGGACCUGCGUUGUAUUAGCUAGUUGGUGGGGUAACGGCUCACCAAGGCGACGAUACAUAGCCGACCUGAGAGGGUGAUCGGCCACACUGGGACUGAGACACGGCCCAGACUCCUACGGGAGGCAGCAGCAGGGAAUCUUCGGCAAUGGACGGAAGUCUGACCGAGCAACGCCGCGUGAGUGAAGAAGGUUUUCGGAUCGUAAAGCUCUGUUGUAAGAGAAGAACGAGUGUGAGAGUGGAAAGUUCACACUGUGACGGUAUCUUACCAGAAAGGGACGGCUAACUACGUG